rnacentral:rRNA from 1 species
GACGUAGGAUCCGAGCGUUGUCCGGAGUUACUGGGCGUAAAGCGCGCGCAGGCGGACACGCGCAUCGGCGGUGAAAGCCCCCCGCUCAACGGGGGAGGGUCCGUCGAGAUGGCGUGUCUGGAGGCAGGGAGAGGCCAGUGGAAUUCCCAGUGUAGCGGUGAAAUGCGUAGAUAUUGGGAGGAACACCGGUGGCGAAGGCGGCCCCCUGGGCUGGUACUGACGCUGAUGCGCGAAAGCGUGGGUAGCAAACGGG